UACGGAGGAUGCAAGCGUUAUCCGGAAUGAUUGGGCGUAAAGCGUCCGCAGGUGGCUAUGUAAGUCUGCUGUUAAAGAGUCUAGCUCAACUAGAUAAAAGCAGUGGAAACUACAUAGCUAGAGUACGUUCGGGGCAGAGGGAAUUCCUGGUGUAGCGGUGAAAUGCGUAGAGAUCAGGAAGAACACCGGUGGCGAAGGCGCUCUGCUAGGCCGUAACUGACACUGAGGGACGAAAGCUAGGGGAGCGAAUGGG
rnacentral:rRNA from 1 species